rnacentral:rRNA from 3 species
UGGGGAAUAUUGCACAAUGGGCGAAAGCCUGAUGCAGCGACGCCGCGUGAGUGAAGAAGUAUUUCGGUAUGUAAAGCUCUAUCAGCAGGGAAGAAAAUGACGGUACCUGACUAAGAAGCACCGGCUAAAUACGUGCCAGCAGCCGCGGUAAUACGUAUGGUGCAAGCGUUAUCCGGAUUUACUGGGUGUAAAGGGAGCGUAGGCGGUCUGGCAAGCCAGAAGUGAAAACCCGGGGCUCAACCCCGCGGAUUGCUUUUGGAACUGCCUGACUGGAGUACUGGAGAGGUAAGUGGAAUUCCUGGUGUAGCGGUGAAAUGCGUAGAUAUCAGGAGGAACACCGGUGGCGAAGGCGACUUACUGGACAGAAACUGACGCUGAGGCUCGAAAGCGUGGGGAGCAAACAGG